rnacentral:lncRNA from 1 species
UAAUAAUUCAUGUAGCAUCUCCCCUCUGUUGUGUCUGUCACACAGCGACAGUGUUUCUGUCUGAUAUCACAGGAUAUAUCCAAGAAAGAGUUUACAGAUCAUCUCAGCACCUACCCGUCAUUCGAUAAGGGUAAAUAAGUAACUUGACCACCAUAGGCAAUAAUGUAGCUUUGGUUAAGCUGGUUACAGGUGAGAGUCAGCCAGAGAGAGGAACGUAGCUACUGACAUUUGUAAGUGUUGGGAUUGUAAGUGUUGUUUGUUUUGUUGGCAACUCUCAGAAGUGUAGCGAAGACAGCCAGCCACCAAUCACUGUGAUAAAAAACUGUAAUAUUGACCCCACAACUGUGAGCCCACACAAAUCCACCCCAAACCUGUCUCCUUUCCUCUCACCCCUCCUCAUGUCUGUACAACCCUACCCUGUUUCCCAUCAGAAAUGUAUUGUUGGAUGUUCGUUUAAAGGAAAGCAAUAACUUUGGUUGAAGACAUUAUUAACGCAAUAGCAUAUUACUCAAAACUUAGGAAUGCAACUGCGCACAUGCACAGCAAAUGUUUUAAUAUAAAUGAAUAUAUAUAUAAUAUAUGAAAAUCUAUAUUUACUUAGAAUGCUAUGCACCCUUGUCAACAGGAUUAUAGUAAUGUUAUGGAUGUACUUUUGGCAUCAUAGCUACCAAGAGACUGUUGAGUUAUGGGUAAUGCCUGAAACCUGGGAAAAAUAGGGGUCUUGUGGGUAUUUUAACUUGUUUUGUUUGCUUUUUUUUAUUGUUAUGAAGAGGUCAAAUACGGAAAACAUAUAUAAAUGUACAAUCCUUUUAAUCAAAUGAAAUCCGAUGACAUCUAUAGAUAAUUUACCCUGUACACCAGCUCAAAUCAUUUACAAAAUUAAUAAAGAAAUGAAAUGUC